rnacentral:rRNA from 1 species
UACGGAGGGUGCGAGCGUUGUUCGGAAUCACUGGGCGUAAAGGGCGCGUAGGCGGCGCGGCUAGUCGGCGGUGAAAGCCCGGAGCUCAACUCCGGGUCGGCCGUCGAUACUUCCGGGCUUGAGCACUGUAGAGGCAGAUGGAAUUCCGGGUGUAGCGGUGGAAUGCGUAGAGAUCCGGAAGAACACCGGUGGCGAAGGCGGUCUGCUGGGCAGUUGCUGACGCUGAUGCGCGACAGCGUGGGGAGCAAACAGG